AAGAGAUGUGAGCACUGUGGAGCCAAGCAUGAUGCACCAGCCCUGCUUUUGUGUUGAAAGACAAGUUUCUCCUCUGACCAGGCCAACAGAUUCCUGAGAUGACGGAAGUCCAAGAAAUUGGAAUUUCCCCAGCAGUCUUAUGCUGGGAAAGAAGGGGCUGGCAGCCGUGUGCCUGCCAGAGUUUGUCUCCAGGAAAAAGAUUCUGCACAGAGUUUGCCGACGAGUCAGACGGACCACCUUGAAGGAGAGACUGGAGCCAAGACAAGGAUGACGGAAGGAAGUUCCGUCUGUCCGCCCUCCAGAAGGAAGUUCCGUCUGUCCGCCCCACCUCCAGAAAGAAAACUGAGGAUGUUUUUAUAAGUUCCUGAACAUCUGUCCCAGAAACAGGGGAUCUGCGCCUUGAUUGUAGUAGGGACCUGGCGCGAGCCUUCUCUGGCUGCCAAGGGAAGCAGCUGGCUUUCUUCCUGUGCCUAAGGCUGGAUCAUCUAUGGGACUUAAGGAAGGAGAGAGAAAGAAGGUUUUUUUUUGUUGUUGUUUUGUUGGUGAUGGUAGAAUAUUUUUUUCUUUUGUUCACUUGUUUUCUAAAUGUGGGGAUGGGGGUGGGAGGAUGCCUUAUUCAAUAUGAGUGUUUACCAUCGCUCUUGCAGAGCACCAGAUUCUGUUUCCAGCACCCGCGCAGCAAGACGUUCACAACUGCCUACUAACUCCAGGACAUUCAAUACCCUCCAGUCUCUGAGGGGACCUGCAUGCACAAGGUGCACACAAGCUUACACAAGCACAUAUAUACAUACACAUCUAAAUAAAAACAAACAAACAAAUAAACAAACAAAAAAAAGAAUCUUCAAAUGAGGGUGGUGGUGUUCUUAUAGGACCCUGCACAUUUGGGUCUUUUAUGACAUCACGGAUGGCUAAAUGCUGCCUCUGUUGUUGGUGUUAUGUUUUUCUGGGGCAGGGUAUCUCACCCAAGGCUCUAGGCUGGUUUCUAGGCUUGUUUUGAUUUUAUUUAGAAGGUUGGUUUUGAGAUAAGGCCUCAAGGUGUAGUCUAGGGGCUGGCUUCUAAUUUAGCUUUUCUACCUCAGCCUCCCAAGGGCAGGGUAACAGAUGUGCAUGUUGUACCUUAUACAGGUUAUACUUUACCUGUGUGCCUGGCUCACAGGGUGCUGUUUUCACUGGGCUGAAAUCACUUGGGAUUAUUUUCUCUUUCUCUGACACUGGAAAAAAUGUUUGCUUUGAUGAAAUACUUAUAUAAAUGUAUAAAGUUUUGUUUGUUUUUCUCUGUACAGUCCCUGAAGUCCUGCUCUGUAGACAUGGCUGGCCUCAAACUCAAGAGAUCUGCCUGCCUCUUUCCCGAGGGCUGGGAUUUUAAAAGUGUGUGUAAUUCUUUCAAAAGAACUAUGUGCUUCUCCGACAUGGCUCUCUGUAGAGAUGCUAUUUUUGCUGUUGGCAGGGUCAAAGAAUUAACAUUGCAUGACUUUGGUAAUGAAAGAGUCUUUAUUUCUUUUCGUGAUAAUAAAAAAAAAUGUUUUUGAAGUUAAAAA